rnacentral:misc_RNA from 1 species
UGUGCACCACCUUGCCGUCGCGGAGCGUAAUGACGUCCACCAGUUCCAUGGUCACCGGCGUGCCGUCGGGCUUCGUUGCGGUGAGAAUCGAUUCCGAGACGAAAUGAUCGUCGCUGCCAUAGAGCGCGACCGGCUCCAANGAUUCCCGGCAAUCCUGAGAUGUCCUUGCCGAACUGCUCGGCGACCGACUCCUUGCCCUUGUAGACCUUCGGGCUGCCGUGGCGCUGAUAGCUGGUGUCGUCGGUAUGAAACGCCA